rnacentral:rRNA from 1 species
GACGAACGCUGGCGGCGUGCUUAACACAUGCAAGUCGGACGGAAAGGCCCUGCUUUUGUGGGGUGCUCGAGUGGCGAACGGGUGAGUAACACGUGAGUAACCUGCCCUUGACUUUGGGAUAACUUCAGGAAACUGGGGCUAAUACCGGAUAGGAGCUCCUGCUGCAUGGUGGGGGUUGGAAAGUUUCGGCGGUUGGGGAUGGACUCGCGGCUUAUCAGCUUGUUGGUGGGGUAGUGGCUUACCAAGGCUUUGACGGGUAGCCGGCCUGAGAGGGUGACCGGCCACAUUGGGACUGAGAUACGGCCCAGACUCCUACGGGAGGCAGCAGUGGGGAAUAUUGCACAAUGGGCGGAAGCCUGAUGCAGCGACGCCGCGUGCGGGAUGACGGCCUUCGGGUUGUAAACCGCUUUCGCCUGUGACGAAGCGUGAGUGACGGUAAUGGGUAAAGAAGCACCGGCUAACUACGUG